rnacentral:rRNA from 1 species
AACGCUAGCUACAGGCUUAACACAUGCAAGUCGAGGGGAAACGACAUCGAAAGCUUGCUUUUGAUGGGCGUCGACCGGCGCACGGGUGAGUAACGCGUAUCCAACCUGCCCAUCACUUGGGGAUAACCUUGCGAAAGUAAGACUAAUACCCAAUGAUAUCUCUAGAAGACAUCUGAAAGGGAUUAAAGAUUUAUCGGUGAUGGAUGGGGAUGCGUCUGAUUAGCUUGUUGGCGGGGUAACGGCCCACCAAGGCGACGAUCAGUAGGGGUUCUGAGAGGAAGGUCCCCCACAUUGGAACUGAGACACGGUCCAAACUCCUACGGGAGGCAGCAGUGAGGAAUAUUGGUCAAUGGGCGAGAGCCUGAACCAGCCAAGUAGCGUGCAGGAUGACGGUCCUAUGGGUUGUAAACUGCUUUUAUAAGGGAAUAAAGUGAAUCUCGUGAGGCUUUUUGCAUGUACCCUAUGAAUAAGGACCGGCUAAUUCCGUGCCAGCAGCCGCGGUAAUACGGAAGGUCCAGGCGUUAUCCGGAUUUAUUGGGUUUAAAGGGAGCGUAGGCCGCCCCUUAAGCGUGUUGUGAAAUGCCGCGGCUCAACCGUGGCACUGCAGCGCGAACUGGGGGGCUUGAGUGCACGCAACGCAGGCGGAAUUCGUGGUGUAGCGGUGAAAUGCUUAGAUAUCACGAAGAACUCCGAUUG